rnacentral:lncRNA from 1 species
AGCAGGACAGAGACACCAGCCCUGGGAAGCCACUAGGAUUUCUGCAGAGGGCCGUUUCCACAUCAGAAAACUGGGAACCCUUUGUGCACAUAACGCUUGACACGAAGAAGGACCUCGGAGCCAAGUGGGAACCAACACUGUUUAAAGGCAGGAAGCAAAAUCCUACAGUGUCCAAAUGAAAUGUGUGCUGCGAAAGGCGUAAUCUGUGUGUGUUCUCUGCGGCUCACUCCCAGGUGUGCAAACUUGCAGAGUGGGGAACCUUGUUGCCUUCCCCCUACGCUAACUGCCUUUUCGUGACUUUUUCGCAGCUGGCAGUGAGGUGUGCGGGCUCAUCUGUGGCCAAGUGCCCAGGAAAGAGAGGCAGCCCAGUAGAUCGUGCUUCCCGUGAGGGAGACUCGCUGCUGCCAAUGACAGACUCAAAACAUCGUGACCCGGCCACAGGAUCAUGGGUGAGAACGGCUAGAAUCAGAAAACGAGUGACUAUCCUGUAGCCCCAGUCGGACUUGAGGUUCACAUUUCUUGCAUUUUUAUGCUUAAUGACAAUAGUUUUAUUAGUGAGAAGUGGCCUUCUGGAAGUAGAGUAGAAUUCAUUUUGCCCCCUGGAGGUGUGCAUUUUGUGUCUGUGUGCACACACCCUGCUCUUCAUCCGACUUUCUGAAGCGACAGGUCCAACUUGCUGUUUUCAGGGACAGGACAAUUUUCCCACAUGCAUGAAAAGGCAACAGACCCAACGCUGAGCUCGGGCAGAACAUCCUGGUUAUCAGGACCCUGUGAUUGCAAACGAACCCACAGACCUCUGCGUGUCAUGCUGAGUAUGUCUUGAUGGGCACCAAGAACUAAAAGCCACUUUCCUAAACCUAAGACGGGGUUUCCAGCACAGCCUGUCAUUCAGCCUCCGAGGGGGGCUGCCAAGGAGGGAGAGUGCUGGGGAGUUUCCUGCCUCGGCACUGGUGACUUCAGACACGUGUUUCCUCCGAGAGAUUUGGGUGGAGACGCGAAAAGCACCUCUAAGUUCAUGCACCCUGAUAAAAGUGGGGUUUACCUGCUCACAAGCACAUAUAGCCACAGAUGUUGCCAAGAGCCUCACACCCCACAAUCACAGCCCAGUUAAAAAUGGGCUUGGCUGAUGGGAGGUUCUGAGUGAAUGCAGUGUAGACAGGCAGGUCUCCUCCAAGCCUUCUGGGGGUGCAGCUUCCUGAACGGGUUGUGGAAGAACCAGAGAGUUAGGUCUGCUUCUGUCGCAGUGGGGCACCCAGACAGCGUCUUUCCCCGCAAGUAAAAGGGUUGCUCAUAGCCCUGUUUUGUUGUUCGUGUUGCUUUGCCGAUGCAGUGCUCACACCGAGCUUUGCUGGCCCGCUGGCUCUAAAUUCUACAAUUUCAUCGCAGUUUCUCAGGGUUCCUGCUGAGCGCAGCAGGUCCUUGCAGUAAGCGAAAUUUAUAUAGACUUCAUGGACGCAGGGACAGUCUUCCACUGUGAAUUUCCUCAUCCAAGGACAAAUAUAAGGGCUCCUCCGUAAGGACUUGCAGGCUGCUGAACUUCUGCAGCUUGCUGGGAUCCAACUUAACACCCGUCCCCACUUCCAGGCCUUGGGGAGGUGCCUGUGUACAGGGGGUGCUGGGUAGAGUCUGUAACAGAACGAAGACCUAAAGCAAAACACAGCUCCCGUUCUUAGAAAUUAAAAAAUCCCGUAAGAUUGUCUGGUAUCUGAUGAUCCCCAGCUCUUCAGUCAUAGAUGGUCAUUAUAUUCCUACUGAAAAAGCCACAAAAGGGAAGGAAUUAGAUUCUAGAUGCCUUUUAAAAAGCACUGUAUCAUGUUUCAAUGAAAAAGAGAAGAUUAAGAAAGCUGGGGAGUAAAGUAGGAAGCACAGGGCACAGGGUGUCAGAAUGUCUCUGCUCAUAAACAGAAUGUCUGCCCACAAAGCCCGUGGGUGGGACGGGGCAGAAGUGAUUGUGUUUCCAAAUCAGAAUUGGGUUAAAUAUUGCAGAAAAAAAAAGGGUAGGGAAAGCCAUGCACGUGUAGCUGAACAGAUUAUAACCAGUGUCAGGGGCCGCCGUAAUCUGCACUGCACAGGGCUUUUGCAGAUCUGGUGCAGGUGAGAACAAACUGGCAUUUUCCAAAGUUAAAAAAAAAUUGCACAUCUCAGAUUUGGACCAUUGUAACUACUGCUCUGACUAAUAAGUCGGUAAAAAAAAAAAGUUUGCAUUCUUUUUUCCCUUGCAGAGCUCUUCGCUCAUCGCUGUGGGUGCCGGGACGUUGCAUGUUUUUUCCCUUGCAGAGGCCAUCGCUGUGGGCGCCAGGACAUCUGUCCUUUGUGGGCAUGUUGAGGCUUCUCUGUGAAGGACCCACAUGUAAGUGGUCCCAGUGCCCUGACUUAGGAUUGGAGGCAAUUGACCCUCAGUGAGCUGGAAGGGAACCCGAUCCUGAGGCUGCUGUGCCGUGGCCU